CAGAUGUGUAUAAGAGACAGGUGAAUCAUCGAAUCUUUGAACGCACAUUGCGCCCCUUGGUAUUCCGGGGGGCAUGCCUGUUCGAGCGUCAUUUCAACCCUCACGCGUAGCGUGGUCUUGGGCUCUGCCGGCAACGGCUUGCCUUAAAAUCAGUGGCGGUGCCAUCGAGCUCUACGCGUAGUAAUAAACCCCUCGCGUGUGAGUCUCGGCGGUCGCUUGCCAGCAACCCCCAACUUUCUAAGUUUGACCUCGGAUCAGGUAGGGAUACCCGCUGAACUUAAGCAUAUCAAUAAGCGGAGG
rnacentral:misc_RNA from 1 species